GAUGAACGCUGGCGGCGUGCCUAAUACAUGCAAGUCGAGCGAACAGACGAGGAGCUUGCUCCUCUGACGUUAGCGGCGGACGGGAGAGUAACACGUGGAUAACCUACCUAUAAGACUGGGAUAACUUCGGGAAACCGGAGCUAAUACCGGAUAAUAUAUUGAACCGCAUGGUUCAAUAGUGAAAGACGGUUUUGCUGUCACUUAUAGAUGGAUCCGCGCCGCAUUAGCUAGUUGGUAAGGUAACGGCUUACCAAGGCAACGAUGCGUAGCCGACCUGAGAGGGUGAUCGGCCACACCGGAACUGAGACACGGUCCAGACUCCUACGGGAGGCAGCAGUAGGGAAUCUUCCGCAAUGGGCGAAAGCUUGACGGAGCAACGCCGCGUGAGUGAUGAAGGUCUUCGGAUCGUAAAACUCUGUUAUUAGGGAAGAACAAAUGUGUAAGUAACUAUGCACGUCUUGACGGUACCUAAUCAGAAAGCCACGGCUAACUACGUG
rnacentral:rRNA from 1 species